UGAAUACGUUCCCGGGCCUUGUACACACCGCCCGUCACGCCAUGGGAGUCGAGAGCACCCGAAGCCAGUGGCCCAACCCCGGCUUGCCGGGGAGGGAGCUGUCCACGGUGAGAUCGAUGACUGGGGCGAAGUCGUAACAAGGUAGCCGUACCGGAAGGUGCGGCUGGAUCACCUCCUUUCUAGGGAG
rnacentral:rRNA from 1 species